GACGAACGCUGGCGGCGUGCCUAAUACAUGCAAGUCGAGCGAACGGACGAGAAGCUUGCUUCUCUGAUGUUAGCGGCGGACGGGUGAGUAACACGUGGAUCACCCACCUAUAAGACGGGGAUAACUUCGGGAAACCGUAGCUUAUACCGUAUAAUAUUUUGAUCCGUAUGGUUCAAUAGUGAAAGACGGUCUUGCUGUCUCUUCUAGCUGGAUCCCGGCUGCAUUAGCUAGUUGGUAAGGUAAUGGCCUAUCAAGGCGAGGAUGCAUAGCCGACCUGAGAGAGUGAUCGGCCGCAUGAGAACGGAGACACGGUCCAGACGCCUACGGGAGGCAGCAGUAGGGUAUCUUCCGCAAUGGGCGAAAACCUGACGGAGCAACGCGGCGUGAGUGAUGAAGGUCUUCGGAUCGUAAAACUCUGUUAUGAGGGAAGAACAGAUGUGGAAGGAACUGUGCACAGCUUGACGGUACCGAAUAAGAAAGCCACGGCUAACUACGUG
rnacentral:rRNA from 1 species